AUGCAGUCAAACAGCUUGGCCCCAGAGGAUCAUGGACUGGCUGCUCCCAGGGGAGGUCAGAGUCGAGGCCUGGAAGAACCUCAGGAAAAGAAACGGUGCUGGAAACUUGAGGAAAAGGGAAAUGGCCCAGAGGCAUCUGUCUUCUUAAUCUCAUCAGGAGCCCCCAGCAGAAGCUGCCCUGGUGAGGGCUCAGCAUGGGGGCCCUGGCUGUGGGCCAAGAAAGCAGCCUUCAGAUCUCAUUCUCCUCCCACACCCUACCCUGUCCCUGCUCCAACCCUCCAGGGAAGCAACUGCAUCUCCCUGUGAUAUGGCAGAUUCCGAGGACUUGAAAGGUCACUAGAGACCCAUAAGUAGAAAUUUAACAGAUAAAAUAAAGGGAAGCAAUAAGAAAAGAGUGAGAAAAAG
rnacentral:lncRNA from 1 species